GGGAUUGACAUGUAAAACAAUCCUGUUUCUAAUUCAAAUAAAAAAGUUGGAAACAAAAAGAAUUUACAAGAGUAGAUAGAAGAUCUAGAGACUGUGUUCUGGAGUGCUGGCUCCAGGGUUGUCUUGUGCUUGAUUUAACUAUGGACAGAAAGGCAUUACAAUUUCAGGUUUGUGAGGACCACUGCACUAGAAAGUUCUGUCGGUGGCCCAGCAAAGGAUACUGCUUCCAUCUGCAAUAGAGAGAAUAUAUUAGACAUCUCCAUCAAGGUGUGUAGACUCGGUACAGUCUUUGUAGCAGCACACAGGCUGCUUGAAUUUAUGAGGGAAUCAAUUCAUAACAUCAGGAUUCUAGUUACAUACUAGGAGUUUUCUAUUGAGGUCAUUGUAACACCAAAUGGUAACUACAGUAUAGGUGUCUCAAGGGUCUAUAGGUCUAGGAUGGUGUCUUAGUUGAAAUUUUCCUAAAGUGGCUUCUGGAUCAGAAAAAGAACAAAUUGUUGAGCUUGGACAUGCCACAGAAGUCAGCUACAAUUCUAAUGAGCUAAUGUAAGAGAGGCUCAAGUUGGACAAAGAAAAGACUCAAACUCUAUGUCCUUAAAUACCAUUCUAUUAAGAUCCAGGUCAUGAAGCAAAACCUGAGAACUCAUUACCACACUUUGAAAAAAAUUAUUUUUCCUUCUUUUUCUGUACAUUCUGUGUUGAUACACUUUGAGUUCAGAGUAUACAUGUGAUCAUCAGUAAAUAUUUCUACAAGGUGGUUCAUAGUUGCCAAGAAAAACUCAGCUAAUGGAGGCAAUUCUAACUGAAUCAAGAAAGAAGGAUUUGUGUUGUCUUUCCCAGGUUCCUUGCAGCUAAAUAAAAGCCAGAUAAUUCUAAUUAUCCAAUGGGGUUUCCUUUCCAUCACCAGAAUCAUAAAAACACAAAGCCCAGAGGAUUGGGCCUUGUGUUUUUCACUUCAUUUUUCUGGGGUCACUUCUGGGAAUGUGGUUGUUCUGAGGGUACAAUUCGUCUUUGGGCCCAGAUGCUGGUGAAAGGGAACACUUCACUGCAUCUAUUUGAGAUCCUGGGUUGUUACUGUGGAUUAAAGAGAGAUUACAAAACAGAUCAGGAUGAAUAGCCCAGGCAGGGGAGCUGUACAGAACAGUCAUCUGUUGGUUUAUUUCAAAGAAGGUUCCUUGGAGACAUUGCAUCAUACAGAAUAGUUUUGCUAAAACUAUGCCAUUUUUUACCUUCCCAUCAAUGUUUUGCAUUUAUCUCAUCUACUCAUUUCCAAUUAUGUUGAUUGUCUGCUGCUGCUGUGUUUCAGAAAAACUAGGAACUGCUUUACAUAUCUCUCCCCCUUCUUAUUUACGAUAUUAAGAGCCAAAACUUACAAGGACUGCCAAUGUACCAGGGAGAAGCCAAAUGAAGUAUAUUUUAUGCUAGGUAGAACACAAAAAGGUCUUGACUUUUAUUUAAGAAUAAAAUAUUAUUUUUCUUUGAAAACUGAGGAGUUACAAUGACAUCAGCAGAGGUUGACACGCCUUAGUACAACACGUUGGUAAUUCUUUUCAUACUUCUCCACACUCUUCUCAUUCAGAAACAGAAGCAAGUCAUGGUACCAAAGGUUCCUGUAACAGCUUUAACCCUUUCACAGGUCACAGAGAGCUCCUGUGAGCUUGUUAUUUGAGUUAAAGCUGACCAUUGAUGUUUUUCUUGGGUAGCCAUAACUAUGCCUGCAAUGGAGGUGGAGGUUGUACAAAGAUAUCUUGUAGAUGGCUUCUGUAGCUCUGUUAGAACUCUGAGACAAAAGACAGAAAUUUCUUCUCUUUUUUAUGUGCCUGGUGGGAGAGGCAAUUUAUUUCAUUUUUGUCCGACAAACCAUCGUUUCUGUGAAAUAGGAAUCCCCUACUUCCCUUUUCUGGAAUAUUGAAAUAGACACCGAGUCACUGGACCUCAUUUGGGAUAGUGUAGGGGUUAGCUCAUAGAAGCCUAAUCCAAAGCACAGGGCUCAGGUUUAGGAUUUGCCAUUUAUUAGCAGAGAGACUGGACACAUUUAACUAGGUUCCAGAGUUUCCACACCUCUUUUAUGCGAUACAUCUAGAACACAGUGAGAACUACAGGCCUUAGUCAUGAUGCUGUUGUUAUUCCCGUUUGGUCAUCCUUCUAUUUCAGAAUUCAAUAUUCACGAAGUGUCAACCAUGUAUAAAGCACUUUGUUAUGACUUGACCUCUAGUGGGGAAAAAUCAAUGAGAUUUUUAUUUUCUAGAGACUUCUUAAGGGAGAAUAUAUUAAAACAGCAUAUUUUCAAUGAUUUCAGAUUUGAUAAGUGUCAAAGCAAGUGGUAAGUGUCAAAAGAAAGAAGAUAAAGUGGGGUAACCUUAGAGACAAGGUGAUGGAGACUUCAGCUCAAGGUCCUCUCUGAAGAUGAAAAGCAGGUUUACCAGUGAAAGUACAAAGCAUGAACUUAAGGUCCUCCUGUGGCUGGGCUGGUUCUAAGGCCUGAGCUCUGUUUCCAUGCUGAAUCAAUGCUGCCCUCAAUGUGGCUGGAUACUAAUUGCCCGAAAGUGACUGGAGACCAAAGUGCCCCAGACUGAAUAACUGUUCCUAUCUUAUAUACCUCAAGUGCUGGGAUUAAAGUGGGCAGUGGCUAAUACAGAGAUUCACAACUGAUGAAAAUGCAGAGAAAAUGUGACAAUGGAGUCAUCAUUCCUAAAGAGGACAUCUAAUUCACCCCCUUUCUAAGACUCAAGGGAAUAGCACCAAAGAAGAAGCAGAAAAAGGACAAGAGUCAGGGAUUGAGGGGGGUACUCUGAAACAGGGUCUUCUGGAAAUUGCUGAUCUACUCAUGAACCCAGAGAAUUUAUUGUUACUAACACAAUACUUGCCUAAGACUGGUCUCAACAUUUCAUCACAGAAGGGUUAAGGCUUCAUGGCAUUCUACCCAUAUUUGAGACAUUAUUGACAGUUAAAAAGGGUUGGUGGGAGGGGGUUACUGUCUUGACUGUAUAGCAACUGAUAAAUUCACCAUGUCCCAGUGAAGAAACCCCUACCCUAGCUCAUGUAGGAAACCCCAAUUAAAACCAGUGGGUUUAACACACAAACACACACACACACACACACACACACACAC